rnacentral:rRNA from 1 species
AAGCGGCAACAGCUCAAAUUUGAAAUCUGGCUUCGGCCCGAGUUGUAAUUUGUAGAGGAUGCUUUUGGUGAGGUGCCUUCUGAGUUCCCUGGAACGGGACGCCAGAGAGGGUGAGAGCCCCGUAUAGUCGGCCACCGAUCCUCUGUAAAGCUCCUUCGACGAGUCGAGUAGUUUGGGAAUGCUGCUCAAAAUGGGAGGUAUAUCUCUUCUAAAGCUAAAUAUUGGCCAGAGACCGAUAGCGCACAAGUAGAGUGAUCGAAAGAUGAAAAGCACUUUGAAAAGAGGGUUAAAUAGCACGUGAAAUUGUUGAAAGGGAAGCGCUUGUGACCAGACUUGUGCCGGGCUGAUCAUCCAGUGUUCUCACUGGUGCACUCGACCCGGCUCAGGCCAGCGUCGGUUCUCGCGGGGGGAUAAAAGCUUCGGGAACGUGGCACCUCCGGGUGUGUUAUAGCCCGCUGCUUAAUACCUUCGCGGGGACCGAGGUUCGCGCUCGGCAA